AACGAACGCUGGCGGCAUGCCUAACACAUGCAAGUCGAACGGGACCUUCGGGUCUAGUGGCGCACGGGUGCGUAACGCGUGGGAACCUGCCCUUAGGUUCGGGAGAACGUCCCGAAAGGGGUGCUAAUACCGGAUAAUGUCUUCGGACCAAAGAUUUAUCGCCUUUGGAUGGGCUCGCGUUGGAUUAGCUAGUUGGUAGGGUAAAAGCGUACCAAGGCGACGAUCCAUAGAUGGUCUGAGAGGCAGAUCCGCCACACUGGGACUGAGACACGGCCCAGACUCCUACGGGAGGCAGCAGUGGGGAAUAUUGGACAAUGGGCGGAAGCCUGAUCCAGCAAUGCCGCGUGAGUGAUGAAGGCCUUAGGGUUGUAAAGCUCGUUUACCCGGGAUGAUAAUGACAGUACCGGGAGAAUAAGCUCCGGCUAACUCCGUG
rnacentral:rRNA from 1 species